rnacentral:rRNA from 2 species
UGGGGAAUAUUGCACAAUGGGCGCAAGCCUGAUGCAGCAACGCCGCGUGAGUGAUGAAGGCCUUCGGGUCGUAAAACUCUGUCCUAAGGGAAGAUAAUGACGGUACCUUAGGAGGAAGCCCCGGCUAACUACGUGCCAGCAGCCGCGGUAAUACGUAGGGGGCAAGCGUUAUCCGGAAUUACUGGGCGUAAAGGGUGCGUAGGUGGCCUGACAAGUCAGGGGUCAAAGGCAACGGCUCAACCGUUGUAAGCCCUUGAAACUGUCGGGCUUGAGUUCAGGAGAGGAAAGCGGAAUUCCAAGUGUAGCGGUGAAAUGCGUAGAUAUUUGGAGGAACACCAGUGGCGAAGGCGGCUUUCUGGACUGAUACUGACACUGAGGCACGAAAGCGUGGGGAGCAAACAGG